CCUAUUACAGCAAGGCUAUGCAGACAGCCCUUACCAUAGACGGAGCAGUGCAAAGAAAUCAGAUGUGGAGACUGUGGCUCUAGAGAAGAAGAGGCAGACUGUUGCAGAACAAAUGAUGGUAGACCACUUAUCCAGGAUAAGAACCAACUCCACAUUAACAGAGAAUGACCUUUCUCAGAAAGUAGAAUUCGAAGGGAGGGUCUUAUCAAGAAAUGGACGCGAUGCCUGCAGGGAACUGAUUGGGUUUUUCUUUGCCCAUGACCAGUCCCUAACUGUGUAUGAGUAUCGAAUGUUUGGGAAAAACAGAACAAGCGUGCUUCCUUUUAUUAAAAAAGACGUUUAUUGUCAUCAGUAUGGACAGAGAAAAGGAGAGCAAUAUGAGCUUGGUGACUUCUAUACUGGUGCAACUUUGACAUUUCUGAGCUGUGAUCAUCCUAGCCUUCCAAAGAGCAUAAAAGAAAAUGCAUUACUUAGACUUCGAAUUACAAGUAUUGAUCAAGUAGCUUUGGAUUCUCUGAAAGCUGCCUCUGCGGAACCCGGGAGAGAAGAUCCAGUCAGUCAGGAGGCACAAGACCAGCUGGUGCUGCAGGCCAUUCAAGAGAAACUAAAAGAACAACUGCACACGAAAGGUGUUCG
rnacentral:lncRNA from 1 species